UGUCAGGUAGCUUAUCAGACUGGUGUUGGCUCUGAAAUCGAAAGGCGACAACAGUCUGUAGGCUGGCUGAAA
rnacentral:pre_miRNA from 1 species